ensembl:ncRNA W03G11.12 ncRNA
CGUUUUCCCAGGACCGUAUGCCCUUUUGAUCUAUGGUUCUUUUGAUGCUCACAUAUUGAAGAAAUGUAGGAGAUGCGAAACCGAGAAGCCGUGUGCGUAUGUAUUUCUAUGUUGGUGUAUGUGUGUAUGAGUAUCGCUUUUGUAUGU